GUGAACGCUGGCGGUAGGCCUAACACAUGCAAGUCGAACGGCAGCACAGUAAGAGCUUGCUCUUACGGGUGGCGAGUGGCGGACGGGUGAGGAAUACAUCGGAAUCUACUUUUUCGUGGGGGAUAACGUAGGGAAACUUACGCUAAUACCGCAUACGACCUACGGGUGAAAGCAGGGGAUCUUCGGACCUUGCGCGAUUGAAUGAGCCGAUGUCGGAUUAGCUAGUUGGCGGGGUAAAGGCCCACCAAGGCGACGAUCCGUAGCUGGUCUGAGAGGAUGAUCAGCCACACUGGAACUGAGACACGGUCCAGACUCCUACGGGAGGCAGCAGUGGGGAAUAUUGGACAAUAGGCGCAAGCCUGAUCCAGCCAUACCGCGUGGGUGAAGAAGGCCUUCGGGUUGUAAAGCCCUUUUGUUGGGAAAGAAAAGCAGCAGGUUAAUACCCCGCUGUUCUGACGGUACCCAAAGAAUAAGCACCGGCUAACUUCGUG
rnacentral:rRNA from 1 species